CUCCUCGCUCCUUUUCCUCUUCCUCUCCUUUUUCCUGCCUUUUCCCUGUCCCUUCCUUCCUUUUCCAUGCCGUGGAGGCAGAGCUGGCUCCUCAGAGCCGCUCCUGCCCCACACGGGCAGGAUGGAGCCGCGAUGCCCGGCCCGCUCCUGAGGGUGGCCCCGGGAGCCGCUGCAGCCGCGCUCGUGGCACCCGCGAGAGGGACGGAGGGAACGGGGGGAGUCCGGUGACUUCCAGCGGCUCUUUGCCUGCGCUGGGGCAGCGCCAGCGGUGCCGCAGAGCCGUCCCUUCCACCUCACAAGAGCUCUCGCUAAUCGAGGCAAGUUCAAAACACGGGCUGAGAUCGCGGUCACAAAAGGGCGCAGGAGGCAGCUCCCCCUAAAGCUGCUUGAUUUUGUUUACGAAAUACCCAACCAGUCUGUUGUGAGGAAAGGACCUUGAAUCAGCCACUGCAGGGAAACUCUGCUGUAUGAAAAAAAAAAAAAAUCUGGGAGGAGGCUUGGUGGAUACCAAGGUGAUUUUGCUGUCUUCCCAAGAGCAGUGUAGGUGUUCUUAAAAUUGUGUAAUACAGAAAUGCAUGAAGUAACUGGGUGUUAGUACUGGGCUUUCCUUUCUGCCUCAUCUUCCUGAAGUCGCUGUCUUAAACCACAGAAAUGUGUGAAAAUGGGACAUAAGGAAAACACGACAUGAAGCUUCACCUGGGAAAAAGAAAGGGAGCAGAGAGUGAAGAGUUACUUGACUAAUUGUGCAGUAACAUUUCUCAGAAUUUUGAUUCUUCAAAAGUGAAAUACAAACAUGUCUUGGCAGAUAAGCUGUCCUGUCCUUGGAGAACAGGGACUUUGUGAUUUGAGCCUACUUUGUUGCAAUUAUUUUAGAAAUAAAUACAAUUCCUUUUCAAAAACCCUGCAAUUUUCCAAGUUCAUUCUUGUAAUGUUUUUCCACUUCCUGUACAGGAACUAAUUCCUUCAAAUUAAUUGCUUGAAGCAAUGCUGGUGGAACUUCUAAUUAGACAAUGCUUGUGUUAUUCCAGGCCUGCAGAGUGACAGCUGCCUCCCUGGCCUGGCUGAAUUUCUUUUUUUCUGGUUCUCCAGGUUUCCAUUUUGCUGUGAAUGUCAGGGCUUGGAAGGGCUGCACUGCAAUUUCGGGCUGGUUUGUGAUAUCAGGGCAGGAGGAAGUUGUCAAUGCCUGCUGUGCUGUAGUGAUUCAUGCUUAGCUCAGUCAUUGAUGUGGAACUUAAUGAAAUAACAAGGAAACCCUGUGGGUUACACUGCUCUGGGAGGGAAUCAAAAAUCUGAAGCUGCUCAGGAAUUAAAGACUACUGUACCUACAGUGCUGGAGACAGUUUAAGGCCCUCAGAUUUGAGCUGCCCUGUUAAUCUCUGUGUCAGUGCUGAAUCUCACCAGAGUGCAGAGGAUGCUGAAGAUUGUCCUCCCCACCGUGUCACCAGUGUCACCACACUUGUUGGAGGCUGUGGGCUGUCUCCCCUCUGAGAUGGAUUUCAGACACAGGGUAUAAAGGAGGAACUAGUUACCAGCGUUGAAGAACCAUGCCUAAACCUAUCUUUUAUUUAAUGAACAAAUUCAAGUCUGUAAGGAAAAGCACUGCUGUAUGCACCAGAAAAGGGAGAACACUGUGAGAAAUGUUAAUACUGAACAGUAAUGAAGAAAAAUGCCAUGGUUUAAAAUACAGUGCUAAAUGACCCUUACAACUAUGAUAAAUUUCAAACCCAUAUCUACUCACAUUUUCAAAGGCUUCAGAAGAAUACUGUGGAUUAAAAACUGUUAAUGAUUGCUUUAUCCCUCUCUUUUGUACUUAAAAGCAGGAGCAGCUGUCACCAGCACUCACACAGAACCACUGAUAGCUAAAAGAAUUAACUGCUUAGAUGAAAUACAUUUAAAGUGUCUCUACAGCUUUUUAAAAUGCCUAUGUCUAUGUGCAUAUAUUAAAUUGAGUAAACAGU